rnacentral:rRNA from 1 species
AACGAACGCUGGCGGCAGGCUUAACACAUGCAAGUCGAACGGGCGUAGCAAUACGCUAGUGGCAGACGGGUGAGGAACACGUGGGAAUAUUCCUUUCAGUUCGGAAUAACUCAGGGAAACUUGAGCUAAUACCGGAUACGUCCUUCGGGAGAAAGAUUUAUCGCUGAAAGAUUAGCCCGCGUCUGAUUAGCUAGUUGGUGAGGUAACGGCUCACCAAGGCGACGAUCAGUAGCUGGUCUGAGAGGAUGAUCAGCCACAUUGGGACUGAGACACGGCCCAAACUCCUACGGGAGGCAGCAGUGGGGAAUAUUGGACAAUGGGCGCAAGCCUGAUCCAGCCAUGCCGCGUGAGUGAUGAAGGCCUUCGGGUUGUAAAGCUCUUUUGUCCGGGAAGAUAAUGACUGUACCGGAAGAAUAAGCCCCGGCAAACUUCGUGCCAGCAGCCGCAGUAA